UGAUAUGCUGCACUUUGCUGAUGAGAGGAGCGAAUUGCUUACUUGGAAUGCCCGGGUUAGAGUAGCACUUGGCACUGCUCGAGCUUUAGAGUACUUGCAUGAAGUCUGUCUACCUUCUGUUGUACAUAGAAACUUCAAAUCCGCAAAUAUUUUACUAGAUGAAGAGCUCAAUCCCCAUUUAUCAGAUUGUGGGUUAGCAGCUUUGACUCCCAACACAGAACGCCAGGUGUCAUCUACACAGAUGAUUGGUUCAUUCGGCUAUAGCGCUCCUGAAUUUGCUUUAUCUGGAAUAUACACUGUAAAAAGUGACGUAUAUAGUUUUGGUGUGGUAAUGUUGGAGUUGUUA
rnacentral:misc_RNA from 1 species